rnacentral:rRNA from 15 species
CAAAAUUGAUUACAAAUUUUUUUUUUUUUGGUAAGUAAUUGAUUAGUUGGUGGAGCGAUUUGUCUGGUUAAUUCCGAUAACGAACGAGACCUCAGCCUGCUAACUAGCUACGCGGAGGCAUCCCUCCGCGGCCAGCUUCUUAGAGGGACUAUGGCCGUUUAGGCCACGGAAGUUUGAGGCAAUAACAGGUUUGUGAUGCUCUUAGAU